rfam:Parcubacteria bacterium GW2011_GWC1_39_29 TT43_C0042, whole genome shotgun sequence.
GCCGCCUUAGCUCAGCUGGUAGAGCAAUACUUUCGUAAAGUAGAGGUCCCGAGUUCGAAUCUCGGAGGCGGCU